AUCUAAAAUUAGAAUCAGAAAUAUUUGGCAAAGCAUGGGAAAUCUGGAAUAAACUUUAGAUUGAUAUAGACCGUGGUGUCAAGGUUUGUUUAUAAUGUUGAUUUAAAAAAUAAAAUAAAAAUGACAUUUUUGGUUGGUUUGACCUCUUAAAACCUGAGCUAAUAUGUGAGCUAAAUCUCUACACACAAAUAGGGUCCCAGUUAAGCUAAAUGUCAUGAUUCUGCCCCACCCUCACCUGCCUGAUUGCUCAUUCUGAACACCUGCGUGCUCCUCUAUUUAAGACUCUUCCCCUUCAGGCUCAGUACUGGAUUGUUGUCUACUCCCUGAAGUUCUCAGUACGCACGCCUUGCUAUUUUGUCUCGUCCUCGACCCUGCUCACGCUCUGGAUUCCUGCUCCUGUCUUCACCCUUCGGUACCUCCGCCUUGGACCCACUCUGAUCUCUGUGUUGCCGACCCUCGCUUCGUCCACGUCUUGCCGCCCCUGCCUUCUCCUCUGGAUAUUUCUGCCGCCCUGAAGAACCCUUGGACUCCCCCCUACUGCUUGGAGGACCUUACUGCAGACCUAAUAAACUGCUUUACUUAACUAAAA